AAAGGGUGGUUCCUAAGGGAUCUUUGUCCUAUAUGCCUAAGGGGUAUAUAUAUAUAUAUAUAUACCCCUUAGGCAUAUAGGACAAAGAUCCCUUAGGAACCACCCUU
rnacentral:pre_miRNA from 11 species